rnacentral:rRNA from 1 species
CUUGCACCUUUCAAGCGAGUGGCGAACGGGUGAGUAACACGUGGAUAACCUGCCUCAAGGCUGGGGAUAACAUUUGGAAACAGAUGCUAAUACCGAAUAAAACUUAGUAUCGCAUGAUACAAAGUUGAAAGGCGCUACGGCGUCACCUAGAGAUGGGUCCGCGGUGCAUUAGUUAGUUGGUGGGGUAAAGGCCUACCAAGACAAUGAUGCAUAGCCGAGUUGAGAGACUGAUCGGCCACAUUGGGACUGAGACACGGCCCAAACUCCUACGGGAGGCUGCAGUAGGGAAUCUUCCACAAUGGGCGAAAGCCUGAUGGAGCAACGCCGCGUGUGUGAUGAAGGCUUUAGGGUCGUAAAGCACUGUUGUAUGGGAAGAAAUGCUAGAAUAGGGAAUGAUUCUAGUUCGACGGUACCAUACCAGAAAGGGACGGCUAAAUACGUGCCAGCAGCCGCGGUAAUACGUAUGUCCCGAGCGUUAUCCGGAUUUAUUGGGCGUAAAGCGAGCGCAGACGGUUGAUUAAGUCUGAUGUGAAAGCCCGGAGCUCAACUCCGGAAUGGCAUUGGAAACUGGUUAACUUGAGUGUUGUAGAGGUAAGUGGAACUCCUUGGUAAAC